rnacentral:rRNA from 1 species
UAGGGAAUAUUAGUAAUGGGCGAAAGCCUGAACUAGCAACGCCGCGUGUGCGAAGAUGGCCUUCGGGUUGUAAAGCACUUUUUGAGAGGAUGAGGAAGGACGGUACUCUCAGAAUAAGUCUCGGCUAACUACGUGCCAGCAGCCGCGGUAACACGUAGGAGGCGAACGUUAUCCGGAUUUACUGGGCGUAAAGCGCGUGUAGGUGGUUUGGUAAGUAGGGCGUGAAAGCUCCUGGCUCAACUGGGAGAGGCCGUUCUAAACUGCCGAACUAGAGGAUGGUAGAGGGAGGUGGAAUUCCGGGUGUAGCGGUGGAAUGCGCAGAUAUCCGGAGGAACACCAGUGGCGAAAGCGGCCUCCUGGACCACUCCUGACACUCAGACGCGAAAGCUAGGGUAGCAAACCG